AUUGAACGCUGGCGGCAUGCUUUACACAUGCAAGUCGAACGGUAACAGGGAGCUUGCUCCGCUGACGAGUGGCGAACGGGUGAGUAAUAUAUCGGAACGUACCCAAGAGUGGGGGAUAACGUAGCGAAAGUUACGCUAAUACCGCAUACGAUCUACGGAUGAAAGCAGGGGACCUUCGGGCCUUGUGCUCCUGGAGCGGC
rnacentral:rRNA from 1 species